GUUCUCUUCAUUAAGCAACUAAUAUGAUAUGAAGAAAAUAAAAAGAAUAAUUAAAAACUGCAUGUUGUCGUGGAUAAAUGUGUCUUUUAAUAAACGUAAUAUAGUGUAGAUAAAGAAAUGUGGAAAUUAUUUGGUGCAUUGGCGGUUUUAUUCAUUAUAAUUAGCAAUGGGUUUUCAUGGCCCAGUGGCCUUGAAUCAAGUGUGAGAGUAAAGAGACUGGUCAGACCAGGUGUAAUGGAUAAUUGUCCAUUUGGAGAAAAACAUUCUGGUGGAUGUAUUGAAGAGCCAUUGUAUAUUAAAACCAGCAGCAUGAAAGAGAAAGGAACGAAACAGAUUAAAGCCUAUUCAAGUAUUAAAACUACAGUUAAUCAGACUGAAGAAUUACCAUGGUAUUCAAAGUGGAUAAAUGGCUAAAACUUAGUAAAACCCGUGAAUAUUUAAUGAUGAUGAGUCAGAAAUUAGAAUAUGUAAUUUGAAAUAAAUAAUUUGAACUUUUGUUUAACUUUAGUUUUUUCUUUAAUUUUUCAUUAAUUAAAUUAAACACUUUUGCUUAUUACAAAAUAAUAAAUAUGUAUUUCCACACAAAA